UGGCCUAUUUAGUUGUUCUUUGUGGACCCAAAACAGUUGCUCUUGUUCAUUAAAAGAUGUUUAAAAAUCUAAGAAAAGAGUAAGGUAUUCUAGGUACCCUUUACACAUUAUGUGCUAAAGCAUAAUAUCAUAGUUGUCUUGAGGACUGUGACCACAGCAUACAGCAAAGAGUCAAGUCACAGCAUUGAAGCCACUGUCCUUCACAGGAAUUCAGAACAGCCACGAAUACUGGAAGGGAAACCAGCUCACAUGACAGGAGGCAGCACUUGGUACCAGGUUGUGUCCUGUGAUGUAUACUUAGCCAAAAGGACAUGCUGCUGGACAAGGUGUGUUCCCUUUCCUCUCUUGCAUACCUAGCAAAACAGAUGCACUUGCUUAUUACUGGAAAUAGGGACUCAGGAGAUGCUGCUCACUGCAAAUCAGCUUGUCAUGUAAGGAAGCACUCAGAGAAGGUCUUACAGGCAGCAUGGUGGGAUUCUAGGGUGAUAAACUUGUAGAAGAUAGGAGGUUAAGAUCUCCAACAGUAAAUGAAAUUGAAAGGCACCACCUCUUCCCUCUUCCUUCUAUCUCCCAAAAUCUCAGGGGAUCAGCAGAAUUACCACUGAAUAGUGCCUGGAUGAGUACAAAUAAAAAAAUGUGCUCUAAAUAAAAUUCAUUCCUUACAUUCUCUCUGCCCCAGCCUCCAACAAGGUCAGGACGAAGGCUGUACUUUAGAGUAGAUACUCCCUGCAACUAAGAGUCCAGAAGAGAGAAAAGAAUGAAAAAUAAAUUGAGUACUUGCUGAUCCAGCUAAUGCUAAAGUCAAGGAAAUCAGCAAAGCUCCUUGAGAAAUGUCACAGCUUUCGAUUAUCUGAGGAAGCCACUCUGCAUUGGAUUGAAGGAGCAUUCCUUUAUCCUUUAUCAGACAAGGAAAAAGAUGCCAGAAACACAUGGCCCAUUUAGAAGAAUGCCCCUGCUCUCUGUCAGUUCUGAAGGUUCUCUCAAAAGAUGGAGAAAACGUACAAUUCUUAUAUACCCCCUAAACAAAAACAAACAAAAACAGACCAAAAAGAAAAACUCUCCCAGGGGGGAUGUUAACAAGCCAGCCACCUAGAGUCAGAACAUUUUGCAUGCAGCUACUUCCACCUAUCCAGAAGAGAAAUACAACAGCACUCAAGGAAUCCUUCUCAACUCCAAAACUUCUUUCGGUCAUAUUGAUGGACUUUAGGAUCACAGUUUACUGCAAUGAAACAAAGCAAAUAUCCUGACACAGAGAAUGAGUAGAAUGGAUUUCUUCAACUGCCUUCUGAACAUGCACCUAUUUUACAUCUACAUAAGUGAACUGCACUUUCCCCCCUCCCCACAUUUCAUAAUUUAAUUAACAGUUCGGGUAGAUAACAUGAGCAAAGGCAAAUCUAGAAAGUGGGACCCUCGCUGUCUUUCAAACAACUUUCCAUCUUGUAGUUACCAGUAACUAGAAAGCGGAACAGUUUAUACUCCUUACAAGAAUAUUCUUGCAGAUAUGCUGUUUGGAAACUUAAACACCUUAGAUGCUGAUUCAAGAGUAACCCAAACUACUAUGUAAUCUAAUGGGUUACUUUAGUUUUGUAACGUCUUUGUUUGUUUUGUGGUUUUAUUGUUGAGGUUGUUUUGUAGUUUGUUUGUUUUAAAAGUAUCAUAAUAUAAUUCUAGGCCCAAUCCAGUUUAUUAUUAAAAAGAAAUUCCAAACUGAAAAAGUAACAGCUAAACCAGUUUAAAAUGAAAAGGGAAAGAAGAGGUUAGAUGAAUUAGUUAACAGCUCCAGAAGACAGAGCUGUUUUAAUAAAGGGAAAUGAAAGAUAUUCCAAUCAAGCUGCAACUGUUUAGAAAAACAACAAAUAUGUUAAGGAUAUUACUUAAGACAGACAUUUAGGGCAGCAAAAGAUAGCACUUCACAAAAUUACAUGUUACUACCAAUAAAGUACUUCAGAACAUUAAUAUACGUAACAGUUUAGUGCCACAUACGUGCAUAUAUUGUACAUUUAGUUACCACAUACAGUAUACACACAUACAUGGAAUCCUCUUACCCUCAUCCCUCCCACCCCAACCUCAAAUUUAACUGUUGAUGUACAACCACCCUGCCACAUCACCAAGGGUAAGCAUGCAAUUUCCUGGAUAUAUAUUUUCUGUUUCUGCUUAGUUAAAUGUGGCAUGACACACAAGAUGCCUCCACACAGUGCAUAAACUUUAUUCAACAACCAAUUUACUGCUCACUCCUUAAAAGACAAAAAUAGAUAAAAACAUUUUUUAAAAUUAAAGAAUUGCAAUGGAGUUAGAGUAACUUAUGUCCUAUUGAAAGUUUUUAGCCUUGACUAAUGCAAGACUGCAAGGGCAGACAGAGGUACUGGAGAAACACCUUAGCGAUAUCUAUAGUCUUAAAACACCUUACUGUAAUACUGUCUCAUUCAGACAGCUGCUUGCCCUACAACUUUCUAGAUAUGCCCCUGCUCAAGUGUGGCAGGAAUAUCCCUCCUUGUGCAAAUAAAGAACUAAUAAAAUGCCUACAACACAUCCAAUGUGACACUAUGCAAUUGUCAAAUCAUCAAGCAUUUACUCAAAACAAAGUCAAUUAUUCUUGUAUCCAUUGUACUGUUACC